AUGUGUCAUUUGUUCCAGUUGAGGUACCUAAAAGUUGUAGCAGCUUAUGGUGAAAUAGUGCUACCAAGGAAAAUUCGGAGACUGGAGCAAUUAGAGACGCUGGAAUUAAGAACUUACGAAUAUAGCAUGGUUCAAGUUCCGUCAGAUAUUGUUCAUCUGCGCCGGUUAUUGCACCUGAUCGUUCCUAUUGGGAUAAGUUUGCCCUCUAGGAUCGGCAGCAUGAAAUCCCUACGGACACUGCGAGGCUUCGACUUGGGCAUGAACUCAGUAGAAAACAUCAGAGACCUCAGAGAUCUGACCAAUCUGAAGGAUCUUGAAAUAUGCCGUGUCUACCGGAAGCAGUUGGAUGAGGCAGAAGCAACAAAACUUAUGAAUAUUCUGAGAUUCUCCCUAGAAAAACUUUGCAACCUCAGAUACCUGUGUAUGGAAUCUUAUCUCCCCAGCGCAUGCUCGGAUGCAUUGGGUUCACUAUCCGCUUCUCCCCGCCUUCUUCGCAGGCUCCAUUUACGGGGUUGCAUGUUAUCGAGGGUUCCCAAGUGGAUUCAGGAGCUCCAUAACCUCUACGACCUUGCACUAGGGGUUAAGGAGGUGUUGGAUGAUGAUGUUGGAAUCAUUGCACAGUUGCACUCCCUUAUCCACCUGGAUUUGUACAUCUUUGGAACUCCUAAAGAGAGGGUCACCAUCUGUGGAACAGGAUUCCUUGCUCUCAAGCAUUUCAAAGUCGCCUGCCGUUGGACAUCAUACCUGACGUUUGCGGCAGGGGCAAUGCCCAAGCUCCAGAGGCUCGAGAUCGGAUUCAAUGCGCGCGAAUGGGAUCAGUAUGGUGCUGCUUUUGUCGGCAUCGAGCACUUGUCAGGCCUCAAGGAAGUCUUUGUACGUAUUGGGGGAUAUGGUGCCGAGGAAUCAAGUGCAAGAGCUGUGCAGUCCGUGUUGAGAAAUGCCAUUGGCAUGCACCCGAGUUGUCCUACAGCUAACAUCAAGUGUGAUGAGAACAUGCAUUUUACUUUUGAUGACUAG
rnacentral:rRNA from 1 species